rnacentral:tRNA from 1 species
GGAGCCGGAUUCGUCCUGGUGGGCGACGCGGCCUUCAAAGCCGUCGUGAGGGGUGAAGAACUUCUCGGGUGUGUUCGAUUCGCACACGGUUCCGCCA